GCCAUGAAUCUUUAUUUUUUUGGCCGGUUUUGCCAUAAUCUAAGACUUUGGUACCCGACCCAACCUUAUAUCUCUCUGUCUCCUUCUUAUUCUCUGACCUAACUGCGCCUCUCUUUCUUCUUCUUUCUCUUCUUCUCUUCUCCUCGAUUAUGGGCUAAGCUUUGGCAGAUUUCCCCCGAUAUUAGUUUCUUUAUUUCAUUGAUUUGUUUUCCAAUCGUAUUAUUCAGUCGUACAAAGAGAGAAUUGUUGAGUUUCCUUCCUCUUCAGAGUUUAUAUGACUGAAUUCUACCAAACCCUAACCCCGAAUUACUCAAAUCACACACACAAUUGUACAUGUUUCAUCAUCUUCUCAACCCAUAGUUGUUCUAAUUUGGCCGUAUAACGAACCCAAAUUUCGUUUUACCUUCUGAAACCCUACUUUCAUUUUGUUUUUUCCCUAUAGAAGUAGAAGGGUUUUGAUGUUUGCAGGUGUUUAAUUGUAUUUGAUGGUGUCAUGACUCUUACAAGUUUGAUCCUUUAAUGUUGAUGAACAUUUAGGUUUAAGGUAACGGCUACACUACAAUAGCACUUCCUUUUCUCUUGUUUAUUCUGACAGUUCUGUUGGUGCUUAUGUUUCACUUGGUAUUAACAUUAUUGAUAGCUUGAUUUAUCUAUAAUGGUUGUUUAUGGAAGUGGAUGGUCUAGUGCUCAUGCAACUUUCUAUUGUGGUGUGGUGGUAUUUCUGGUACCACGGCCUGAAAAUCCUGCGGAGCUUGGUGGGAAGACAUGGCUAUGGCUCUCUUAGUGGAGCAUGAUUGCCUGAAAAUCCUGCGGAGCUUGGUGGGAAGACAUGGCUAUGGCUCUCUCAGGAAAAUGGUCCCUGAUGGAGUCAACAGAGUUACAUGAUCGAUGGUCCAGAGGCUCCCAGUUAAUCAAAUCGGUUGAAGCUGGCUCCGGUCAGAAAUGAUGUGACUUGAAUCACUUCCUGCAACAUGAAAUGAGAAGUUAAACAACUAUUGGGAAGCAAAACUAUCCCAAGCAAAUGUUCAGGAAUCUGCACCAUGGACAAGGAUACUGGGAUCCAGCAGCACCUUCUUCAAGUGUGAUAAGAUAAUGAAGAUUAUGAUUGCGUGAUAAGUAUGAUGUUAUGCAAGAUAGAUUGAGUACUUGGAGAUGUUUCAAGCGAUAACAUAAUUAAGUGGUCAAAAGCUUAUAUAACUCGAAGAGCGACCAAAUUAGAGUGGCAGGGUGACAGUAGACUGAAUUCAGUUUUAAUGUCGAUAUGUAAGGUAUGCAUCCACAGUGGGCGAGUAUAACCAAAAAUUUGGGA